rnacentral:sRNA from 1 species
UGUGUCUUGUGUGGCUUCUCAGCAGUCAUCAGCUCAUGGACUUCCGGCGCCCUGAUUUUAAGGUCGUGGCGCGAAAGCAACCAGCAACAAAAUAUGAUAUAAUUUGGCCAACCGUGUAGGAAUGAAUGCCUGACUGCCAAUGACUGGUGCUGUGAUUGUCUCAGAAGCGCUCAUGGGCUCGAAUUAAUCCAACUUCCUUGCUCGAUUUGAAGUAAAGCUACGUGCUCACCUUCAGGUUUCAAGCAAAGCACGGCUAGUAGGAAAAGCAAGCGUCGAACCCGUUCGCCAACUCCUAACCAGGGGUAUCUAUAGCAAAUUAUCGAACGGACAUACAAUCGUGAUGAUAAGGCA